rnacentral:lncRNA from 1 species
GCUCCAACUCCGCCGGAAACCAGACGCACAUCCCCACCAACGCACCAACUGAAAUUCCCAGGCAAAUCCAUCGAAACAGCCACCAAAUUUGGCUAUAGAAUUCCCCAAAACUCAUUCAUUUGUAGCCGAAAAUCAUACAGGAACCAUCCAUGUUCGUUGUCUAAAUUGCAGAAUGUUCGAAUUUGUGAAGUUAUCAGUUCUUACUACAGAGUCAGGUUUCUUGGAAGUCGCUGAAACUAGCUGAAAUCCAUUGAGCCGAGGUGCCGAUUUGAAGGUGGCUCGUAGUUCCGUUCAAAUUUGAUUGCGGUCUUAAAUUUUUCUUGUAGCUGCGCUAUCCUAUACGUGGUAAUCUGCUGAAGUUUUCUGUCAAUUGAAUGAUUUAUUUAAGGUCAAUAAUUUUCUCCUUAUCUUUAUGCCUAUCCGUGGUAAUCUGCUGAAGUUUUCUGUCAAUUAAAUGAUUUAUUUAAGGUCAAUAAUCUUCUCCUUAUCUUUAUUAUAAUUCUAGUUAUGAGUGAUUUCAAAAUUAUGUUGGCUCAUUCCUUCUAGCCUUUUAUCUCUGUUAAAAUGCAAGUGAAGUGUUGGAUUGAUUUUCAUCUAAGUUUAUUGUAGCUUAAGAUUGGAGUUUAGGUGGCCUACUACCUGUUUGUUAAAAUGCAAUUGUUGUUUCUAUUGCUUUCCCCAUAUUUUAAUUGAUAUCAGUGACUUGUAAUUGAUAGUGGAAGUUUCCUUACUCAUUUUUACGAGUAUCUCCCUUCAAUUUCAUAACAUGGUUUGGGUAGCAUGAAUUUGGAGUUGUACGUCGUGAAUCCUGUUUUUUUUUUUCGGAUUCGGAAGUUGGUUGGCUUCAUUUUCUUGUUUGUCGCUUGUUGGGUCCGGUUCGUAGGUCUUCUUGUUUGGACCCGAUUCCUUCUCAUCAGUGAGGUUUGAUUUUUUUCAUUGUAUUCUCAAAUCAUAGUCUUAAGUAAGGGUGUUUAUUGGUCAGAAAAUUGUGAACUUUUUCUUUUCAAACAUCACGGCCAGAAAAUCGAGGAUCUCCCUGCUAGAAAAUUGUGGAGUUUUGUCUUUUCAAAACAUCGCGGCCACAAAACCGAGGAUCUCCCAGCUAGAAAAUCGUGGAGCCUUCAUUUUCAAAAUAUUCCGACCAGAAAACCGAGGACCUCCCGGCCAGAAAACCGUGGAGCUUUUUAUUUUCAAAAUAUCCCGGCUAGAAAACCGAGAAUCUCCCGGCCAGAAAACUGUGGAGCCUUUUUCUUUUCAAAAUCCCUGCCAGAAACUGAGGACCUCCCGGCCAGAAAAUCAUGGAGCUUUUUCUUUUCAAAAUAUCUCGAUUAGAAAACCGAGGAUCUCCCGGCCAGAAAACUGUGAAGCCUUUUUUUCAAAAUAUCCCGGCCGGAACAUCGAAGACCUCCAGGCCGGAAAAUCAUGGAGCUUUUUCUUUUCAAAAUAUCCCAGUCAGAAAACUGUAGAUCUCCUGGCCAGAAAACUGUGGACACUUUUUCUUUUCAAAAUCCCGGCAAGAAAAACCGAGGAUCUCUCGGCCAGAAAAUCGUGGAGCGUUUUCUUUUCAAAAUAUCUGGGCCAGAAAACCAUGGAGAUUUUUAUUUUCAAAAUAUCCCGGCUAGAAAACCGAGGAUCUCCCAACCAGAAAACCGUAGAGCUUUUUCUUUUCAAAACAUCCCGGCCAGAAACCGAGGACCUCCCAGCUAAAAAAUCGAGGAUCUCCCGGUCAAAAAAUCGUGGAGCAUUUUAUUUUCAAAAUCCGGUCUAAAAACCGAGACUCUCUGUCAGAGAAUCGAAGAGCCUUUUCUAGUUUGAUUGUCGUAUGAGUCACAACUGACUCACGAAUUUUCCUAGUAAACCUGGGGCAGAAAAUUUUGUUCGUUUGUUUGUUUUGAUAUUUUAAAACGAGUUUGACCGCAAGGCACAAGGUGCGAGAUGACUGAUGAAAUGAGUUCCAAUUCAAAUAAAGAAAAGAACAAAAGAACAAAAAGAAAUAUACUCGAAUGUGAGGUAAGCAAGAGUGCGGAUUACUCAGAAUCUGAGUCACAAGCUACCUCGGCCCAAUGUUGCGUGAAGAAAUAGGCCCUCAUAACCCAUGAGCAUCAAGAUUCAGAUCGGAGUCUGCAGCAAGACCUAGCCAAGACUCAAGAUCAAGCUUCAAGAAAUUGAUAGAUAGGAAUCUUGUAACUCGUAGUUGAUAGGCUCACUUAGGCUUUUUAAUUUUGGUUUUGAUGUAAUAAGCAGGACCGCGGACCGGAACCUCGACGAAACCUCACUUGGCUCUCAACCUCGCCACUCCAGUCACCUAAUUCACUUGGGAACUACACUUGACCUAAUUCCUUUAUAGCUAAGGAUAUGUAGGCAACAUUUGAAGCAAGGUUCGGUCAGAUAGUUUUUCAAAAAUGCUUCUCAUGGAGUUUCAAAUGGGCAAAAAUCUCUCAAAGUGCUUAUUUUAUCUUUGCCCAAUAACUCUUCGUAUUUUCGAGCAAAGAGGGGCAGCUGUAAGCACGUGAUUUUUGCCCUACAUGAGGAUAACUCCUAAAAAUAACCAAAGAUGAUAUUUUAUGGAUUUUAGAAGUUUUUCUUUAUUUAGUUGCAUUUCACACAUUUUUAAUAUUUUAAAAUCAUAGAAAAAUCACAAAAAAUGUCACGUUUUAAUUUUAUGUCACCUUAGAUCCAAUUUUCAAAUAGGAAUUAAUUUCAUUAAGAAAAAUCACAAAAAUGAACAUCUUUAGCUUUAAGUCUUUAAAACUAGCAUUUUUCUUCAGUUUUAAGUUAAUUACUUAUUUUAAUGUCUACAAAAAUAAUUUAGGAUUUUAAUUAAUUAAAUAAAAAAGCAAAGAAUGUAAAAUAUUUUUUUAGUCUUGCUUCUUUUAAAUUUCGGCUAACUCCUAAAUUUGUCAACACCAAUAUUAAACCCCGGCCCAAUUUCUAUGACCCAAAUUCCUUCAAGCCCAAUGACCCCUAAAACCCUAGACUUAGCCUAUAAAAGGACCUAGACCCAUAGACCACAAGGAGGAGGAGAUACACAAUACGAAAAAAAGAACGCUAAAAGUUGUGCUGAAUAGACCCCCCCGCCUAAACCCCAAGACUCCAACUCUACUGAAAACCAGACGCACAUCCCCACCAAUGCACCAACUGAAAUGCCCAAUCAAAUCCAUCGAAACAACCACCAAAUUCGGCUAUAGAAUUCCCCAAAACUCAAUCAUUUGUAGCCGAAAAUCAUACAGGAACCAUCCAUGUUCGUCGUCCAAAUAUCAGAACGUUUGAAUUUGCGAAGUUAUCAGUUCUUACUACCGAGUCAGGUUUCUUAGAAGUCGCUGAAACUAGCUGAAAUCCAUUGAGCCGAGGUGCCGAUUUGAAGGUGGCUCGUAGUUCCGUUCAAAUUUGAUUGCGGUCUUAAAUUUUUCUUGUAGCUGCGCUAUCCUAUACGUGGUAAUCUGCUGAAGUUUUCUGUCAAUUGAAUGAUUUAUUUAAGGUCAAUAAUUUUCUCCUUAUCUUUAUUAUAAUUCUAGUUAUGAGUGAUUUCAAAAAUUAUGUUGGCUCAUUCCUUCUAGCCUCUUAUCUCUGUUAAAAUGCAAGUGAAGUACUGGAGUGAUUUUCAGCUAAGUUAAUUGUAGUUUAAGAUUGGAGUUUCAGGCGGUCUGCUACCUGUUUGUUAAAAUGCAAUUGAUGUUGCUGUUGCUUUCCCCCUAUUUUAAUUGAUAUCAGUGAUUUGUAGUUGAUAGUGGAAGUUUCCUUAUUCAUUUUGUAUGAGUAUCUCCCUUCAAUUUCAUAACAUGGUUUGGGUAGCAUGAAUUUGGAGUUGCACGUCGUGAAUUCUGUUUUUUUGGAUUUGGAAGUUGGUUGGCUUCAUUUUGUUGUUUGUUGCUUGUUGGGCCUUGUUCGCCGGUCUUCUUGUUUUGACCCGAUUCCUUCUCAUCAAUAGUUAUACUAUACAUAAUUCCAAAAUAUAUAU